AAACCUCUGCGUCUGAAUCUGUUCAUAUUUUUAAAGAGCGGUUUUAUUCUGAUGCCCGUCUUCCUGUGUGUCUCUCUAGGAGAAGUGUGUGAAAUCUGUCCCUCCAGUUGGCACAGGGGUCCCAAUGGGACCUGUUACUUUGUCUCAUCUGAAGGGAAAUCCUGGGAUUUUUCCUAUAAUGCGUGUUCUGUCCUGGGGGCUCAUCUCGCUGUGAUCCAGGACAGAGAGGAGCUGGAGAUGCUCCGUGAGGUAACUGUGACUGGUUUUCGGUACUGGAUUGGGCUGAGCAGUAACGGCAGUGCUAGGUGGCGCUGGCUUGAUGGGACACAGCUACUCACUAAUGUGGUCACAGAUGGUGAUGACAGCCACAGAAGCUGUGGAUACUUAAGAGGGACCAUAAGCACGUUUCAUUCCGAUUCCUGCAGCACAGAGCUCCGCUGGGUCUGUGAGCGAAGCUCUGUGCGAUUGUGAGGGGCCGCACCGCCAUCUCUAACAGCUGGACAUCACAGAGCUCACCGCCUGCCAUGACAACAGGCUACCACAAGGUGGAGACAGAGAGCAAAAAAACGGGUCCCACGACAGACCACAGCAGUGUCCUCCAAUCCUGUUUCUUAUAACCCUGGCAUCCCCAGGAAUCUCCCAGUCUGGUUUUAUUGAAUUAAAAAUGAUGUAUAACGUUCUUCCUCCAUUUAAUCAACAUACAGUAUGAAGGUAUACAAUGCUGUUUGCCGUUUUGUACAAUUAAAAGAUGAUCCAG